AGUCCAUGAUUGGAAUCGGUGCUUCUCCUCCUGCUCCUCUCGUGCUUGUUCUUUGAUACGAACAAAUCCCUCUUUGAAAACUUGAAGUUCGAAGAUGUUGCUGGGAUAUGGAGGAGGCUAGGCCUCAAAGUUCUCUAGACUGGAUUCUCUUGGACUAUGGUUAUUUCGGUAACAUGCUGCAGUUCAUUUUUUGCUGGCCCUUGUGAACACCUGGGCUUUGGUUAUUUCUGUGCGUAAUGAAGAUGCUUUUUCAGAAGUAACAUGCUGAUGUUCAUUUUUGGACAUCAGAGGAAACAUUUUCAUUGAUGAAAAAGGAAGGAUAAACCUUCUUGACCAAAUAAAUAAAAUUGACAGCAGAAACGCACAAGACAAAAGUAGCUAUCUACCAAGUACAAAAUUGCAUCUAUGAAACAUAACACAAAUUGAAUGUCCUAAUUUCCACAACCUCAUUACCAAGAAGCAGCUGAUGGAUCCCUACAAUGUUGUUCUAAAUUUCAGUAGAAGCUCAGCAUCACUGUAUAGUCUGGAACUUUAGUGUGUUUUGAGGCUAAACUACACUAGACAGGCGUCUUUCUUGUCAACAAUGCAACAGCCACCUAAGUUAUUAAAAGAGGGCUCAACUUCAGCAGCCAAGAUGUAGCAAGAACUUUCAAACUCAGUCACAAAACCGAAAUCUGAACAGAAGAUCUGCUCUAGACAGGGGGAUAACGAAGCUUUCUAAUGCAGAUCUCUUGAAUUUUGCACUUGGUUGUGGUCAAGAUGUUGUCUUUGAUUUCAGUUCAGAUCCUAAGUUGAAGAGAUUUGUCAUUGGUGCAAACGAAAGACAGCUGCACUAUGUUUUCACUCUGUUGUCAAAACAUGUUCCCAGGAUGAGCAGUUUGACUGUCAAGACCAGGUUAUGUGCAUGCCAGAAAGAAUCACCAUCUUCAAAGAUGUUGCGAAGUUAAUAGCAACACAGAAUUUGAUAUCUUGAAGAUGAUUGCUAU